UAAAAAAAAAUCUAAAGAAAGGAAUCUUUAGCUAUCUCAACAUCAAAAAGAAAAAAGCUGAGGUUUUCAAGAAUGUGUGCACACGUGCAGUGUGUAUGUGCAUGUUUGUGAUUUAUUGAGGGCUAAAAAGAGAGCUGAUAUUCCCUCUAUAUACACUAAACUUAUAACCACUCUCACCUCUAACCUAGGACCAACACUACACAACACACACACAUCCCACUCAUAUAUUCAUACAAAGUGUACUGAGUCCAUCUGAUGAACUAAUCUAAUGAUAGAUUUGAUAUCUAAUCCUCACAACUACAUUGCAAGGUAUAUACUAUUUUCUCUACUUUAUAGAAGAUGAAACUGAGCCCCUGAAGGCCUAAGGUCCGGCAACAUGUAAUAAAAGGAAGCUAGAAUUGGAACCCUGGUGUGUUCAAUUCCGAAACCAGCCCUUCUUCCACUACUCCUUCCUCAAAAGGCCUUCUAAGUCGUCACUCUCCUAGCACUGGUUACAAGAAAUGUCGGUGGGAGUGGUUGUUUUACGAUAAACCACUCUGAUAAAAAAAAUGCUCCAAUGAUUAUUUUUGAGAUGUCAGAGCUGAAAAUGUACAGAUUUCACUGGACGAAGAACCUGCCAAGUGGUGAUUGCACAACCAAAGCACUGCAAGGAACCAAGGAGGCCAAAUGUGUGUUGGAAAAAUCACAGAUGUCAUCUGGGAAUGCUCAGAGCCUUGGGCUUUCACGCUGAGACAGACUCGCUUCCACCGGAACCUCAGCCUUUUAAGGCUAAAUCAAGGCCGUGACUUCCUCAGCUGAAUCAACCUGACACUGUUCCCUGAGCUCACUGGGAUCCUAUUGGCAGAGCGUCAGCCCCGUCAUGGAAAGAAUGCCUCCACCAGGGAGGACUGGGUUAGUCCCCAUCCUGAACUGGAUCAUAAACACCCACCUUGUCAUAAAGCUGCUGUGAGUCUUACAAUGGGAAGAUGGGGGAGGCAGCACACUGGGGUCAGGAGUGGAGAUACUUAGGCUCCCCAGAGAAAUUAGUCACAAGUCUUAUCCCUUCAUCUCCAUUUACAGCCAUUUAUUUGGGAGCAACAUACUUUAAAUGAGUGAUAAACAAAAUGUCUCCCCACAGCCCCCACCCCAGCAUGUGUUCUGAAGUUCACAGGAAGGCUUCUCCUCAUUUGCUUUGGGGCCCGCAGGCUGCCUGCUAACAGCUGGGUCUUCCCAUGAACAAAUUAGACAGUUAAUGUUCCAGGAUGAAGAGGGCUUCGGGGAACAGAAUCUGCCGUUUAUUUGACUUGCUUCAUUAGACACAGUGCCAUCAUACCAAAAUUAGAAAAAAGAAGGAACUCAGCGGAAAUCAGCUACACAAGAAGAACCUCUCAGUUCUGAGAAUUCACAUUAACCAGUGAUUAAGAAAUAUUAAAAAGGGCUGAUAGUCCACUACGUUAUCAAGUUCAAAGCCUAAGAAAUAUUGAACAUUUCCACACAUGAAUGUGGGUACUAUGUUUAAUUUGAGAAUGGCCAACUGUCCUCGAAGUCUCAAUCUCUUUGGAGCCUACCAGCUCCGAGAGAAGUUUGAGGAUGCUGCAAAACCCUCCCCUGCAAAUCCAUCUACUCCUCCCACUUCUAUCCUAAUGGGUAUAGUUCUUGGCUGUGCUGAGGAUCUGUAAGGCACCAGAUGUGAAAGUAAGGAAGAAAGAUGGAUGUGGAAGAAAGUCACUGCCCAGAGAAUAAGGAGACCUGGAUUCUAAUCUCAGCUCUGCCAUUAACUAGCUAUGAAACUAUGGCUCAAAAGGGAAUAAGAGAUCAAGGCAAGCAUGGACAUCUUGUACGUGGAAGUGCAGACCAGAACUUGUAUCACAGCCAGUCAUAUCUGGUGCUUUCCAUGCUACUUUUACAUACAUGUAUCCUUAAAUUUGAUCCUCUUCUAGUUUAGUCUAAACUCUUUACUUUGUAACUUCCAAACCUAAAAGGUGCAGCAGACAUUGACAAUCUUAAUUCAUUUGUCAGGUCAUUUGGUUUCUUGGUUUCCUAAGGGACUGUAUCCUUCCUGCCCUGCUAAUGGGGAGACUUUUUGUUUUUUGUUUUCUGUUUUCCUUAAUAAGUGAGGCCAAGUGCUGUGUGUAACUGUGGGGUGGGCAAAAUUAGGAUUCCUGAAUCACUUCACUUUUUGUUGCCUUUCUCUUGGGAGAAUGGUUACCAUUGCAGAGAAGCAUAGUUAAAAUUGCUUUUGUGUUUCAUAAACGAAUUCAUACUUAGAUGUCAUUGACCAACAACUAAAUAGUAUAUCAGAGAUGAAAGGCAUCCUAGAGAUGACCAAAUCAAGCUCUUCAUUACUCAAAGGAGAAAAAAAUCCAGAAAGUGGAUGACAUAUGUUGAACUAGUGAUGGAAGUAGAACAGGGUAGUGUAUUUUCUGCCUCUUAAUUCUUCAUUUUUUACACUAAACCAGAUAUUAGGUAUAUGACUAGGAAGAUACGUGAGGUAAGGAGCAGAGGGUUUGGCUCCAAACUCAUCAUGUAGUCAUCCUCCUCCAAGCUCUGAGAGCUUCUCUCACAUGUUAAUUCAGAGGCAGUAACAAAAGAAUUAAUGCUCCUGAAGGUUUCUCAAUUUUAUCAUCUGGAAAGUGGAGUGAACCUUUGCAGAGUCCUUCUGAAGAGGGCUGACCUUGGACUGCACUAGGUUAUAUUCAUUUGCUAUUACUCAGCAAUAAAAAGUAAAUGCAACAAUAUAAAUGAAUCUUAAAAACAUAAUAUGGAAAGAAAGCAGCCAGACACAAAAGAAUACCUCCUGUUUGGUUUCAUUACCAUAAAACCUAGAACAGACAAAUGAAUAUACUAUGAUUUUAAAAAGAUCAUUAUGAUCAGAAAGCACUUGCCUGUUACAGGAAGGAGAUGGGGAUUGACUGGAAAGGGGCAUGAGAAAACUGUAUGAAAUAUUAUAUAUGGUUUAUAUCUUGUUUGGGGGUGGAUACAUAGCUGUGUAUAAUUGUCAACAGUCAUUGAACUGAGCACUUAAAAUCUCUGCAUUUUAGUGUAUGUAAAUUAAUUUUUAAAAUUAUUUUAAAAGAAAAGUAAAAGGAUAGAAAAAGAUAUACCAUGAAAACAGCAAUCAUACAGAGUUGGGGCAGCUAUACUAAUACUAGAUAAAAUAGUCUGUAAGACAAAAACUUAUUAGAGAUGAAGAGGGACAUUUUAAGUGAUGACAAUUUAUUCAAUAAGGAAGAUGUAACAAGAAUAACAAGUAUGUAUGUACCUAAUAACAAAAUCCCAAAAUACGUAAAGCAACAACUGACAAAAUUGAAGGGAAAGAUAGACAAUUCAACAAUAAUAGUUGAGGACUGGAAUACCUCACUUCCAACAAUAAAGAGAAAAACUGGGCAGAAAACCAACUGGGAUACAGAGACUUGAAAAACAUUGUAAACCAAGUAGAAUCAACACACAUCUAUAGAAAACUCCACCCAACAACAGCAGAAAAUACAUUCUUCUGAAGUGCAUACGGAACAUUCCACAGAAAUAUAUGAUGUGCUAGGCCAUAAAAUAAGCCACAAUAGAUAAUAAAAGACUGAAAUCAUGUAAAUUAGGCUCUAUGCCCACAGAUUUAGAAAUCAAUAACUAAAAGAAAUGUGGGGAAUACACAAAUAUGUGGAAAUUAAGCAACACGUUCAUAAAUAACCAAUAGGUCAAGGGAAAAAAAUAUCACAAGGAAAAUUAGAAGAUACUUGAGAUGAAUGAAAAUAAAAAUACAGCAUACAAAAAAAACCAUGGGAGGAAGUUAAAGCAGCAUUAGAGCUAAAUUUAUAGCAAUAAAUGCUUAUUUCUUUAAAAAAUAUCUCUAAUAAUCUAACCUUUCAAUUUAUGAAACUAUAAAAGAACAAAUGAAACUGAAAGCAAGCAAAAAGGAGAAAAUAAUAAAAUUUCAGUAGAAAUAAAUGAAAUAAAAAAUAAAAUACAUAAAGCAACAGUUGGUUCUUGAACAAAAUUGACAAAUCUUUAGCGAAACUUUAGCAAAAAAGAAGGAGGACUCAAAUUACUCACAUCAGGCAAGAAAGAAGAAACUUGACUACUAACUUUACAGAUAAAAAGAAUUCAAGGGGGAUAAAACGUAAAAAAAAAAAACCUCUAUUGCUAACAAAUUAAAUAAACUAUAUGAUAUGGACAAAUCCCUAGAAAGACACAAAUUAUUGAAACUAACUCAAGAAAUAGAAAAUCUAAAUAGACCUAUAACAGGUAAAAAGAUUGAAUUAGUAAAUAAAAACUUCCCACAAAGAAAGAUUCAGGCCUAGAUGGCUUCCACUGGUAAAUUCUCCCAAAUAUUUAAAGAAGAAUUAAUACCAAUUGUUUAUAAACUCUUUUAGAAAAUAGAAGAAAGGGGAACUCAUUCUAUGAGUUCACUAUUACCCUGAUACCAAUGCCAGACAAAGGCAUGAGAAAAAGAGAACUGCACACCUUUAUGCAUCCCUAUCCUUUAUGAAUAUAGAUGCAAAACUCCAAGAUGAAUCCUGAAACAAAUAAAAAAUUGUACCACAACUAAGAAAGAUUUCUUCCAAGAAUUCAAGAUUGGUUUAACAUCUGAAAAUCAAUUUAUAUAAUAUGCCACAACAAUAAAGAAAAAAAUCACAAUUACUUCAAUAGAUGCAUAAAAUAAUGGAUAAACUCCAACACUCAUGAUUAAACAAAAAAAGAAGAAAACGCUUAAACCAGGAACAAAAAUUAACUUCCUCAAACUACCAGAAACUUACAGCUAACAUCAUACUAAAUUGUAAAGAAUCAAAUGGUCUUCUUUCACUCUCAGAUGUGAAAAUCUCCUAUGUAGAAAAUCCCAAGGUAUCGACAAAAAACAAAAAAAAAAGCUAUUAGAACUAAUAAAUGGGUUCAGCAAGUUUGCUGGAUACAAGAUCAGUAUAGAAAAAUCGAUUGCAUUUCUAUAUAUUAACAAUGAAAAACCAAAAUAAAAUUAAGAAAAUUCUAUUUAUAAAUAACAUCAAAAGGAAUAAAAUUUUUAGGAAUAGAUUUAACAAUUUAAGUAUAAAAUGUAUAUGCUAAAAACUACAAAACACUGUUGAGUGAUACUGAAGAUUAAAAUAAAUGGAAAGAUACACCAUGCUUAUGAAUUGGAGGAUUUAAUAUCGUUAAGAUGGCAAUACUUCCCAUAUUAAUGUACAAACUUAAUGCAAUUCUUAACAAAACUCUUCUGGUGUUUUUACAGAAAUUCACAAGGUGACCCUAACAUGUAUAUAAAAAUGCAAGGGAUCCAGAAUCACUAUAACAAUCUUGAAAAAGAAUAACAAAGUUGAUGGAUUCACACUUCCCAAUUCCAGAACAUACUACAAAGCGACAGUAAUCAUAAUGGUGUGGUACUGGUAUAGGGAUAAACAUAUUAAUCAACAGAAUAGAAUUAAGAGUCCAGUAAAUCCUCACAUUUAUGUUCAAUCGAUUUUCAGUAAAUAGGCAAGACAAUUCAGUGGGCAAAGAAUAAUCUUUAACAAAUAGUGCUGGACAACUGAAUAUCACAUGCAAAAGAAUGAAUUUGCACCCUGACUUCACAAUAGACACAAAUUAACUCAAAGUGUAUUAUAGAUCUAAAUGUAAGAGCUAAAUUACAAAACUCUUUUCAAAACAACUACAAAAUUCAAUCUUCAUGAUCUCGGAUUAGGGAAUGACUCUUCAAAUUAGACACCUAAAGCACAGGUGAUAAAAGAUGGCUAGGUUGGACUUCAUCAAAAUCAAAAACUUUUCUGCUUCAAGGGAUAUUUUUAAGAAAGUAAAAAGAUAACCCUACAGACUGAGAGAAAAAUUUUGAAAAUUGCAUAUUUAGUAAGAUACUUACACCCAAAAUAUAUACAGAACUCUUACAACUCAAUAAAGACAAACAGCCCAUUUUUUUCCAUGAGCAAAUGAUUUAAAUAGAAAUUUCUCCAAAGAAGACAUAUGAAUGGCCAACCAAUAAGCACGUGAAAAAUGUCAAUAUCAAUAGCUAUCAGGGAAAUGCAAAUCAAAAUCACAAAGAAACCAGGGCAGAGUGCCAGAUGCUCCGUACCUUGAAAAGGUUCAAGGAAACUUGAAAGAUCAGAUGACAUUUUUAGUGUAAUCUACAAGUCACUCUUCAAAUGACUUGAAGAUGACUACCUGAAUAUAUACAAUAAAAGUUGGAAAUAUUCAUAGAUAAUAUAAAAUUGAGACAAAAAAGGUCUAGAAAGACUGCAAUGUCAAGAUAUGUAUCAUCAAUUCCUGUACGCUACAGUUAAAUUUUGUUCUGAGUUUUCUGGUGCCAAGAAAAUAGGAAAGGGGUGGGCAAUACAGUAAGAUACAAAGAAAGCUUUUAUUUCAUGACACUUAAUUCUAAAAGAAUAAUCAGGUGAUAUGAAGCCAAUUUCUACAGAUAUGGUCUCUGUCCUCCAAGAGCUCAUAACUCAGAGAAAAAUAAAUAUGCAAAUGAUUAAAAUCAGUGAGGUAACUGCUAUGAAGGACGUAUGUACAAGCUAUACUGGAGGCAUAAGAGAGAGAGUUACCAUUCAGAUGAGGUGGACUCAUGCUCUGAUGUGGUAACAUAUGAGGUAGAUUGGGUAGGAAGGUAAGGCCAGUAGAGGGUGGGAGAACAUUCCAAGCAUCUGCAGAGAUUAAAAUUACCUAAGACGUUUGAGAAAUUGUAAGUGGUCUGAUAUGGCUGCAGUACUGGAUGUGAAGAUAAAAUUAAUGAUAGCUGAGGGUGGCAGGAAAGCUGGGAUCUUGCCAUGUAUAGCCUUAUAUGUCAUGCCAAGGACUUUGGACUUUAACCUGUAGGCAAGGGGAACCAUUGACUGGCAAGCCCUGAGUAGAGAGUCUAGGCCUUAUAAUGGGAAGUUAGUUUCCAGAGAUAACCUAAAGAAUUCCUGCCUUUAGGUUUAAUUCCAAAAGGGUAGUAAUCCACAACCUAGCACUCCAUAACAGUGAUUUAUAUUGGAAUUACUCUCCAAAUUGGAAGAUAUGGUUAAUCUGGGAUUAUAGGACGUGUAAGCUCAAAGUAAUUUCCAUUGUAACUCGUAUAGCUUUCUACUCAGCCCAUGACAUUCCUACCUGGUUCCAGUUCUUGCAAUUCAAAGAGAACAGGUCAAUGUCAGUGUUAACAUGUGGGUAUGAAAACAGCAAGUACCCGCAUAUGAAUUGGAACUGGGCUCACUGAAGAAAGCAUGUAAUUGGAGUGGGAAUAAAAGCAUCCAACUAUUAUACUUGUGUGUGUACACACACACAUUAGAUAUACUGCUACAGAUAUAGAUAGAUGCCAGGUGUGCUGGUCACUUUGCGAAUCUCAUCACACUUUACCUUCAUGACAAUCCAGAAAGGUAAGUACUAAUCCCACUUCACAGAUCAAGACUAUUCUUACUUACAGAAGUUAACAGUGCUCUCUCACUGGCUGGAUUGGCAUGGAUGCCUAUUUUUGAUAGUAUUUCUAAUCCUUACCACUGAAAGCAUUGGAAUGACACUUCAUGUAUUUUUUUCAGUAGAGAAGUAAUAGAAACUAUUCCCCUUAAAUGGCAGAUGUGAUAUCUCAAGCACAAAAGCUUGGGUGACUCACUCAAGUCAAUAACAACUGUAGGACAGGAGCAUUUCCAGUUGGCCCCGUAUUCCUUCUACUUAGUCUUUUUUGUUCUCAUGUAAAUACAAAGUCAUAAAUUUGUGGGGGUUCAUAUUGGCUUUGUUCCUUUUCCCAUCUAGUUACCACAAGAGACCUUUCACUCUCCCUAGUGACACCAUUCAACCUCUACAUAACCCUACAACAAAUACCCACUUCACUACCAUAUCACAUGGCCAGACCAGUGGUCUUUUCCUUUAAUGUUACAUAGAAUAAUAUUAUUUCUCCAUCAAUUAACUCUGAUUGGAAUCAUGAUUAUCACUAGUUUUAUUCUUCAGGCUUGAUAGAGUACCAGCUGUGUCCAACAAAUGUAACAACAGUGGCUUCCAGCCAAGUGCAACUGAGGUUUUUACAAGAAUAGAUACUUCGUGUAUUCUAAUGACAAAAGCACAUAAAUGAGGACUAAUAUUCUGUCUGUGGCAGAGAGAAAAUCCUCUUGACUUUGAAGAGGUUCAAAGGCCCACACACACAGAAAACUGAGUGCUCUGUCAUGCUAUCUGGAUCAAGGGACUCCCCCAAGGGGCCGGCAUCCCGGCCUUAGAAAGAUGUCUGGGCCCUCAUCACUGAGGCCUUUGAAACCUUGUACCAGAAACCCCCAGGGGUGCCUCUCCAGCCUGCUCCCCUGGAACUUCUCAGGUACCCAUGACACAGCCAGAUAACCAGCCAGUUGUCACCUACCAUCUAGGACAGUCUCUUACUCCUACCUGUCCAUGCAUGCUCACUAAACUUGCCCUGCAGCAGAAGUAUGAAUGACUCUUUAUUAAAAUAGACAGGAAAAACAAUAGUGUCUCAUCUCACACCUGCACUAGGAAAAAAUCCUCUGUCUUCCUCUCUCCCUUCUGGGCCCACUCCCUCCAAGUCAUCUCAGAGCUGCUGCCAGCAGCAUGUAAAAUAUGAAUCUGACUUUUUGACCCAUCUGAUUAAAAACUGAAGUUGGAGCACCUCUGGCAGCAGAUUGAAGUCCAAACCCCUUCAAAAAGUAUUCAAGGGCCUUCACAACCUGAUUUCAACAAUAUCCUGAACAGUUUUCCCAUACACUGGAGCUCUGGCCUUCCCAGGUCCUCCAGUGAUACUCAUCUUGCUCAUUUGGCCAUGGAUAAAGGAGAAAAGAGAGAGAAGUUCCCUUUCAGCACCCUAACACAUCUCUUAAUACAGCCUCUAAGUCUUUGAGUCCUCCAGGAGCCAGCAGCCAAGUCCAAACUAAAAGCAUCACAUGUUGUUUUGGAGAAAGAAGCCAGGGUGUCCACAGUAAUAUAAAUACAGAGACAGAUAGGACGAGCAGGCCCUAUGGAGAGAGGCCAAGCCUGAGAAAGUCAAAGGGCUUUGAGCUCUGAAUUAUGCUCUGUCAAAGAAAAAAAAAAGUAGAAGAUAAAAGAGAAAGAAUAAACAAACUUCUUCAUUUUUACUUUUCACAAAAAAGUCUCUUCUGGAAGCAGCAAAUAAAAUCUUCCCAACUCACUGGGUGCUGAGUAGAGUGUUAAGACACUAGCCCUUGAAGGAAGAAUGAAUAAGCAAUUCAAAGUGGGCUUUUCUGCCCUAGGCUAAAUCUGAAAUCAUCCAUUUUGCCAGCAGUAUUCUGUCUGCCAACCUACCUGCAAAGAAAGGGGCCAUUUAAAACUUCACAUCCACCCGAGAUGGCUGUUGUACAAAACACACACUCACAGGCUCCCCUCAAAGCCUAGUAAGGAAGAAGGAAGAAGGAAAAAGCAAAGGAAAUAUCUGGCAGCUCCUAGACUUUAGGAAUUCCACAAACAAAGCCAUUGCCAACAUCUAUUUGACAGGAUGUAUAGAGAGUUCAUAAAGUAAGUGUUUAUAGAAAUUCCAAAAUGUUUAAAACUAUCUCUUGAUUUUUGAAGGUCACUGUAAUCUAGUCUAUUGGAGAAUGCUAUUGUAGAGUCUUUGGCUAUUGUUACUUAUACCUGCAUAUAUGAAAUCACCACUCCUAAAAACCACGAAUUAGAAGGCUGAUUUGUUUAAAGAAAUACUGUUGUCCAUGAUGGAAGAAGGAUGCUAACUCACAGAGAGAAUGAUGCUGCCUGUGGAACAGAGUCGGAGCUGGCUUUUAUGGAACCUAUUGUCACUUUGAUUAUACACUGUCUAGGACAGGACUGAGGCCCACAUAAUACCAAGCAUACCACAAAUACGUAAGUUCGCUGUUGAGUUUGUUUCUUUUUAUUGUUUAAGAAAAAAGAAUGCUGGGGUUUGAGUUGUUCUUUUACACCCAGAACACACUACACAUCAGAGAUGUGCUGACACCGUGCUUUUUCUUUUUUAUAUAACAAGAAAAAGUGGCAUAGAGGGAAAAAGAGGUCAAAUUAAACAUCAAGGUAGCUAAAAGGAAAAUUGUGUCCGCUGCUCUAAUAUCACAAUCCCAAGGAGAACUGCAGACAUUUGUCCUCGAGUUCCUCAGGUUGGUAGGCAGAAAUUACAUUAUUUUCCUGAAUAUUCCUACUGUAAAAUAGUCAUGGUACUUCCUGCUGGGAGUGCAAAGAUGAAUAAGAAAUGCCUUCUAAUCUUAGGGGAUUCAUUAGGUAAAGUUCAUCCAGGUGACCAACUACUGCCCUCAUUUUGGCCCCAAGGAUUCCUGCCUUCUGUGCAUCUUUCUCCACCCUUACAUGACUUGAUCUGGCAUCACCUUGUUAAUGCUUCCUUGGAUCUAUAAACCUGACAAUGACCUCUCACCUCUCCCAAGAGGAUUUGCAUAAAUCCAAACACCUAUAGGUGGAUGUCUUCCCAUUGCUUCAAGCAUGAACUAAGCCAGGUACCUUCCUUUGUCAGACUUCCACCCAUCCAAAUGGGCUUCCUUCCAAGUGGCUCCCUUCCCUGCCAUACCAGCUCCACUCUUUUAGUCUCCUACUUUUUACUCCUACUUCUCCUUCAGCCUUUUAUUUCUAUCCUGUCACCAAGUCUUAGCAUCUGUCCCAUCAGCGAUUUUUAGGUCUAUUUCAACUUAGAUCUAUGCCUCACUAACUCACAAAAGAAGAAACUGGCAUCUUUGUCCCUUCCAACUAAUUUUGCAAGAUAUGUUUUCCUAACUUUGCAAGAUAUGUUUUUCUAAAAGCAUUCAUCAUUAUUUUCCUGUUUAUGAAACUUGAUCGAUCUCCCUUUUCUCUGUCUUGUCAAACAUACACCCUUUCAAAACCCUCUAUGGCCUAACCUUUCUCUGGCUAUACAAUGGUAUUUCAACCAAUCCCUAUCAUCCUAGUCUAUUCCAAUCAGGCUGUUACCAUCUCAAUGCCUUUGUUCAAACUGUCCUCCACCUCACCAAAUCAUUGUCCAGGAACAUGAUUCAUUCAGUCAAGUAUUCAGCAAGCAUCCAAUGGACAAGAUACACUAUGCUGGACACCAGGACACAACAGAGAGCACGACAGGCCCAUUUCUUGCCCUCAAGAGUCUUAUAUCUAGUGCUGCAACAAUUAGCCCAUCUCCCAAGAAAAACUUUGAUCCUUUCCUCAUGCUUUAUAUUUUGAAAACCUUGGUAGAGAAAAAGUUUCUUUUAAAAAAAGAAAAACAUUUCUUAACAAGCAAAAGCAAUUAAAGUAAUGUAUUUAAAUUUAAUGUAAAGUAUGUAAAUUGAAUGAAUAUUUAUGUAAAUAUGCAUGUAAAUUUAAAACAUUUUCUAAUCUGGUUGGAAAUGGAUUUCCAAAAAUAAGUAAUAGAAAAGAAACAAUAGAAUGUUAAACUCCUUUAUAGCGUCAUCACCCGCCUCCCCCAGGAAGCUUUAUAAAACAAAAUUAUUUUUAAAAUUCACCCAUUACGGAAUUUUCCUUCUUUAAAUAUCCAUGGUCCUUAGUCCAGUGCUUAGUUAUACUCUUUUGUUUUGUGUAUGAUCGCUUUUGCCCUGUGGACACAUACGCUCUAAAUAGAGACACACAGCUUGGCUCUGUGCUUGUUGUGUAGCCCUGACAAUAAUAAAGCAACGAGCGAGCUUCACAAAUAUGCCACAGUGGAUAUUACGCUCACACAUAAAAACAGACCUGUAUAAUUUAAAACUCAACCUCAGUAAUCCAAAAACCCAGUAUAGCAGGCUUGAACUUCAACAUCCAUCAACAUUUUCAACUAGAAGAAAAUCAGACUCUGUUGAGCCUUCUCGUCAGCCUUUCCUGCCUACAGCCAAGAGGAUGACAGGCAAAAAGAACGGGGUGGAAAAGCAAAGGGCAAUUCACAUGUGAACUAGAUUAUAGAGCCAUUUGUUUCUACCUCUAAAUUUUUAUCAUGCGGGCCUCAAAUAAACUUGUCACCAGACAUCAUGUGGGCUUUUGGACCUAAAACCUCUAGAAGUUUUUGAUAUGACUCUUAGUUUCUGACACAACUAUUUUUAGUGAAAUAACAUUGCCUCUGCUUCUGUGACAUUUCCCAGAACAACAGUUAAUCUGAAAUCAGACAGAGGGAAUUUUAUUUUGAUCUAAACUUUCGCUCAAUGAGAGAGUCAGGGAAAGCCAUAUCCUGUGUGUUCAAGUCCCAUAAUAAAAGCUGCGUAAUUUAAAUGGAGUCAGGUCACACUCUGUUCUUCCUUGAGUCAGCUGCUCACCUAGAUUCAAAAAUAGGGACCAAAAAAGAUAAACUGGCUUGGUUCCUAACUGCUAAUGUGGUCUCUAGGAACUGAAAAACCACAUGAUCCACCCUAACUGAAGCAGAAGAUUACAAAAAGCAGGUCCCGCCUUGACCAUCGCCUCUGUUUCUAAUCCUUUCCCAAAGCUGCCAAGUGCAUCCUGGAAGGGCCACUUAAACUCUCUAAGCGAAAGUCAAAAUAGAAUGGAAAAUUCUGGGAACUCUGACUAUGCAACACCUUGUUGUCAUUCAAAGUUUUCUCUUUAAAAAAAAAUUUUAUUGCUGCUGUUUAGUCAUUUGUAUACCUCUACUGUUACAACUAACAUGUUUGUCCACUGUUGAGUAAGCCAUAGUGCAAACACAGUUUCAAACACCUCACCAACAGUCCAAAAUGUUAAUCUUGGGGCUUAACAAAUGUUAACUACAACCUGGAGAUAUAGUUCCAAUAUCCUUAUAAUUAAAUAGUAAAAUUAUUAUGCUCUUUCCCCAGUCAUGUCUGCACUAUUGUUUCUAAAUGUAUCCACAGGUUGCCAGUAAUGAUGUUUCUGGUGAUCUGGCUCAGAAGGCUGAGCUGAUGAGUGAUCACUCAGAAAUACUGAAUCAGGCAAUGGAAAUUCUGAAUCGGUGGGCUCUGGAGAAGGAACUGAGGGCGAGGUGACUCGGGGCCGGAGGGCUAUUAUGGACUAUGGACAAGCUGAAGGCAUGGGAAGCCUGACCAGUAGAUAGAGGAAUAUGAACUUGGUGGACAGGGAAAAGCAGGGACGUCAUGAACGAAAGACCACAGACCCUCUGUUCUAGUCCAUGGGGCCAGGCUGUGCUCCACUGCCUACUCUUGGAUUCCCCAAAGAAUGCUUUAUGUCCUUAUAAUAAAUCCACCUUUCCAUGGACAAAAAUGAGUGUGUCUCUGUGUCUUCAAACCUGAGAGCUAAAACCAAAAAACAUAACUUAUGAUGCUGUAGAAGAAACUUCUACCCCUUUGUACGCAUGGAGAUGUUUCCCAAAUCUACACAAUGAUAGAAAUAACUUGCUGCGUUAAAAAGUAUAGAUUGUCAAGCUCCUCCUCUGUAGAUUGAGUCCAAAGUUCUGACUUGGGCCCUGAGAAGAUGUUUGUAUUCUUAUAUUCAGGCAAGUUUGGGCCAAAUUCAUUGAAGUGAAUUCUGAGAUCCUUUCAAUUGCAAAGUCAACAAAUACAAACUAAUCAUUCCUCUAUACAUAGGAGUAGUUUAAG
rnacentral:lncRNA from 1 species